CCUACGGGUGGCAGCAGUGGGGAAUAUUGCACAAUGGGGGAAACCCUGAUGCAGCGACGCCGCGUGAGCGAUGAAGUAUCUCGGUGUGUAAAACUCUGUCAGCAGGGAAGAAGAUGACGGUACCUGACUAAGAAGCCCCGGCUAACUCCGUGCCAGCAGCCGCGGUAAUACGUCGGGGGCAAGCGUUAUCCGGAUUUACUGGGUGUAAAGGGAGCGUAGACGGCGGUGCACGCCAGAAGUGCACGCCCGCGGCUCAACCCCGGGAGUGCAUUUGGAACUGUGUGGCUGGAGUGUAGGAGAGGCAGGCGGAAUUCCUAGUGUAGCGGUGAAAUGCGUAGAUAUUAGGAGGAGCACCAGUGGCGAAGGCGGCCUGCUGGACGAUGACUGACGUUGAGGCUCGAAAGCGUGGGGAGCAAACAGGAUUAGAUACCCCGGUAGUC
rnacentral:rRNA from 1 species